rnacentral:rRNA from 1 species
GUAGGGAAUAUUGGGCAAUGGAUGCAAGUCUGACCCAGCCAUCCCGCGUGCCGGAAGAAGGCCCUCAGGGUUGUAAACGGCUUUUGACGGUGAAGAAUCGACAGGAUGCGUCCUGUUUUGACGGUAGCCGUUGAAUAAGCACCGGCUAACUCCGUGCCAGCAGCCGCGGUAAUACGGAGGGUGCGAGCGUUGUCCGGAUUUAUUGGGUUUAAAGGGUGCGUAGGCUGGAAGGUCAGUCAGCGGUGAAAAGCUGUCGCUUAACGAUAGUCUUGCCGCAGAUACUUCCUUUCUUGGAUGAGGAGGAGGCCACUGGAACGGAUGGUGUAGCGGUGAAAUGCAUAGCUAUCAUCCAGAACACCGAUUGCGAAGGCAGGUGGCUGUACCUUAAUCGACGCUGAUGCACGAAAGCAUGGGGAGCAAACAGGAUUAGAAACCCGGGUAGUCC